GUGAAAUAUUUUGCAGUAUAUUAACUCAUCGGCCAUAACAAUUCCAUAUCCAACUUGCUCGUGCCUAUAAAUGAAGACCAUCCCACCCUAUGGCAAUGCACACCAGCAGACCAUUCCACAUGAUAGCAAAGCAGUCAGGGCAGAGGAAGAGGAAGAAGGGGCGAGAGCCGAGAAGUAAGUACCUGUAGAGCGUAUACUGGGGAGGCUUCUGCUGGGUUGCCAUACGCUAAGAGGCAGAGAACGGGAUGCAGCCAAGGAUGACUUGCCGGCUCCUGGUGCUGGGAGUUCGUUGAGCUUUAGAGUUAGCCGGCAAGUUGUCUUUGGCUACACUUAGUUCUCUUCUUCUGGUGUUUGGCCCUCAAGCAUUGUUGAGAAAACUCUAAUGCCUGCAUUUCUAUCAACUUCCAUCAUGGAAAUACAUGAAUAAGUAUGCAAAGCAUAAAAGAUAAGAGAUUGACUUUCUUGUGGUACCCCCUGACGAAAAUGAAAGUCCGAAGGAUGUACAGAACACACUGCAUGACAAAAGAUUCCUCAAGGCUCUCACAUGGCGGCAAAAAUUGUACUUGCAAUAUUGUACCACAAAGAUUAUGUAUACACAAAAGAAAAUCUUAAUUA